UGUUAUCUCAGCCCCCUUGAAGUUACCAUUGGUUCUGUCCUUGCCGGUGAGGGUCACCGGAGCUGCUGCAAUUCCAGUCUUUUGUUCCUCUGCUAAGCUGCCUCGCGGUAUUGUUCCAUCAUUGCUGUUGCUGGAAGAAGCAGUCGAAGUGGCUGCCAUGAAUUAAAAGGAAAGGGAGUUGUUACAAUAGGUUUAUGCGAACUUGGCUAAUCGAGAGUUGUUGUGGUUAUUGCGUAAGCGGUUUGGAGCUGAGGCUGCAGCUGCCACUGAUUGCGGGCCGAAAA